AUUGAACGCUGGCGGCAGGCCUAACACAUGCAAGUCGAACGAGUGGCGGACGGGUGAGUAAUGUCUGGGAACCUGCCCGAUGGAGGGGGAUAACUACUGGAAACGGUAGCUAAUACCGCAUACCAUCGGAUGUGCCCAGAUGGGAUUAGCUAGUAGGUGGGGUAACGGCUCACCUGGGCGACGAUCCCUAGCUGGGCUGAGAGGAUGACCAGCCACACUGGAACGGGGACACGGUCCAGACUCCUCAGGAGGGCAGCAGUGGGAAAUAUUGCAAAAUGGGGGCAAGCCUGAUGCAGCAAUGCCGCGUGGAUGAAGAAGGCCUUGGGGUGGUAAGGUACUUUCAGCGAGGAGGCGUUACUCGCAGAAGAAGCACCGGCUAACUCCGUGCCAGCAGCCGCGGUAAUAC
rnacentral:rRNA from 1 species